rnacentral:lncRNA from 1 species
ACUCUCUUUUAUUUUUUAACACACUAUCUUCUAUGUAACAGAUCACCACCACAGCCUUGCUACCACCGCCGCCUGUAACCAGCGGCCAUCGGAAUAACCACCAAAUCCGGCACCAUCUACAUCUUCUCUCUCUUUCUCUUAGGCCAACAAAUCCGUGAAGAAUGAAGGUGGUGGCGGUGCGGUGUUUCGACUGAGAAACCCUAGAUCCGUGUCGCCAUCUCAAAACACCACCAUCAUACCAUUAGGGUUUUACUAUCUACUAAACUCCGUUGGAUUAGAAGAAAGAAGAAAUGGAGACUUCGUUGAGAUAAGACAGAGAUUCGAGCGCCCUGAAAAUCAACAAGACGACGACGACCAACAACAAGAAGGGUCCUCGGACGGUGAGGUAUGCCAGCGAUGCUUCCGGCUCCACCCUCAAAAUCUAUGCUAAGCAGAAGUUCCAUAUCGAUUCCAACACUCGUCUUCAGCUGAAAAGAAGCAAAAUUAUAUGGAUUAUGAAGGACGUUGGUGGUGCUUCUUUAGCAACUAUCAAGAUUUAGAAGAAAGAUUUUAGGCUAUGGUUGUUUUGAAAUGUGAUUGACAAGCGGUGGUGCUUCGUUGUGUGAACAGGCAAGACUUUAUUUUAUUGAAUUGUGACAAGCAGAGCCAUUAAUUUUGUAUUAUGGAUAUUUUGAAAGAAUGUGUAUAGGCUGAAGUGAUUUGGGAUAAGCAUAUAUAUGAAUGUAACAAUUUGUUUAUAUGAAUAAAAGUUCGGAUCAUAAAGAAUAUUAAACAGAGUGAGUUUAUGCAGAAUUCGUGGCACUAUAGUUUCUGAUCCUUGUAAAUCCCUCCUUUUACUCUCUUUUAUUUUUUAACACACUAUCUUCUAUGUAACAGAUCACCACCACAGCCUUGCUACCACCGCCGCCUGUAACCAGCGGCCAUCGGAAUAACCACCAAAUCCGGCACCAUCUACAUCUUCUCUCUCUUUCUCUUAGGCCAACAAAUCCGUGAAGAAUGAAGGUGGUGGCGGUGCGGUGUUUCGACUGAGAAACCCUAGAUCCGUGUCGCCAUCUCAAAACACCACCAUCAUACCAUUAGGGUUUUACUAUCUACUAAACUCCGUUGGAUUAGAAGAAAGAAGAAAUGGAGACUUCGUUGAGAUAAGACAGAGAUUCGAGCGCCCUGAAAAUCAAUAAGACGACGAGCAACAACAAGAAGGGUCCUCGGACGGUAAGGUAUGCUAGCGAUGCUUCCGGCUCCACCCUCAAAAUCUAUGCUAAGCAGAAGUUCCAUAUCGAUUCCAACACUCGUCUUCAGCUGAAAAGAAGCAAAAUUAUAUGGAUUAUGAAGGACGUUGGUGGUGCUUCUUUAGCAACUAUCAAGAUUUAGAAGAAAGAUUUCAGGCAAUGGUUGUUCUGAAAUGUGAUUGACAAGAGGUGGUGCUUCGUUGUGUGAACAGGCAAGACUUUAUUUUAUUGAAUUGUGACAAGCAGAGCCAUUAAUUUUGUAUUAUGGUUAUUUUGAAAGAAUGUGUAUAGGCUGAAGUGAUUUGGGAUAAGCAUAUAUAUGAAUGUAACAAUUUGUUUAUAUGAAUAAAAGUUCGGAUCAUA